CACACACACACACACACAACAGACACAUAAACACAUAGCAACAGGUACUACACACAAAGAGUUUUUUAGCCAAGUCUUAGGUUGCUGGGAGAUGGUUCUGUGGAGCUGCUGAAUGGGACGAGAGCGUAUGUCAGGGUCACACAGGAAGAGCAAUAAUGAAUGGGCUGUCCCUUCUGAGUCGGGGUUGUGGUCAUGUGGAGGAACAACAUGGCCGCCUGGAGGUCUGUUUCACACCGCAGGAUUACUACAUCUGGAGGUCGCAGCAGUCUCUGCUCCGGCUGACCAAUAACAGCAGCCGUCUGCUGCAGGGGGGCGCGGCCACAGCUGCUAAGACCUAUAGCACCCGCAGAGGACCCCUGCUGAUCUACACACAGGUGUGUGUGUGUGUGUGUGUGUGUGUGUGUGUAUGUGUGUGUGAGUGU